GCAAGUCGAGCGGUAACAGGUGUAGCAAUACAUGCUGACAAUCGGCGAACGGGUGAGUAAUGUCUCGGAAUCUGCCCAAUGGUGGGGAAUAACCAGCCGAAAGGUUGGCUAAUACCGCAUAAGCCCUACGGGGGAAAGCGGGGGAUCGCAAGACCUCGCGCCGAUUGAUGAGCCGAAACCGGAUUAGCUAGUUGGUAGGGUAACGGGCUACCAAGGCGACGAUCCGUAGCUGGUCUGAGAGGACGACCAGCCACACUGGGACUGAGACACGGCCCAUACUCCUACGGGAGGCAGCAGUGGGGAAUAUUGGACAAUGGGGGAAACCCUGAUCCAGCGACGCCGCGUGUGUGAAGAAGGCCUGCGGGUUGUAAAGCACUUUUAGUGGGGAUGAAAAGCUCAGGGCUAAUACCGCUGAGUCUUGACCUAACCCAAAGAAAAAGCACCGGCUAACUCUGUGCCAGCAGCCGCGGUAAUACAGAGGGUGCAAGCGUUAAUCGGAAUUACUGGGCGUAAAGCGUGCGUA
rnacentral:rRNA from 1 species